UACGGGGGGGGCAAGCGUUGUUCGGAAUUACUGGGCGUAAAGGGCUCGUAGGCGGCCAACUAAGUCGGACGUGAAAUCCCUCGGCUCAACCGAGGACGUGCAUACGAAACUGCGGAGCUUGAGUACUGAAGAGGAUCGCGGAAUUCCCGGUGUAGAGGUGAAAUUCGUAGAUAUCGGGAGGAACACCAGUGGCGAAGGCGGCGAUCUGGGCAGAUACUGACGCUGAGGUGCGAAAGCGUGGGGAGCAAACAGG
rnacentral:rRNA from 1 species